UACGAAGGGGGCUAGCGUUGUUCGGAAUUACUGGGCGUAAAGAGUGUGUAGGCGGUGUUCCCAGUCUGUUGUGAAAUCUCCCGGCUUAACUGGGAGGGUGCAGCGGAAACUAGAAUGCUAGAGGGUGGGAGAGGUAAGCGGAAUUCCUGGUGUAGCGGUGAAAUGCGUAGAUAUCAGGAGGAACACCUGUGGUGUAGACAGCUUACUGGACCACUUCUGACGCUGAUGCGCGAAAGCUAGGGGAGCAAACAGG
rnacentral:rRNA from 1 species